rnacentral:rRNA from 1 species
UACGGAGGAUGCAAGCGUUAUCCGGAUUCAUUGGGUUUAAAGGGUGCGUAGGCGGGACGGUAAGUCAGGGGUGAAAGCCAGCAGCUCAACUGUUGAAUUGCCUUUGAUACUGCCGUUCUUGAGUGUGGAUGAAGUGGGCGGAAUUUGGCAUGUAGCGGUGAAAUGCGUAGAUAUGCCAAAGAACACCGAUUGCGAAGGCAGCUCACUAAACCAUUACUGACGCUGAGGCACGAAAGCGUGGGGAGCAAACAGG